GCGUGAGUGAUGAAGGUUUUAGGAUCGUAAAGCUCUGUCAGUGGGGAAGAAACACCUGCCGGGUAAUAUCCUGCAGGCUUGACGGUACCCACAAAGGAAGCACCGGCUAACUCCGUGCCAGCAGCCGCGGUAAUACGGAGGGUGCAAGCGUUGUUCGGAAUUAUUGGGCGUAAAGCGCGUGUAGGCGGUUGUUUAAGUCUGAUGUGAAAGCCCUGGGCUCAACCCAGGAAGUGCAUUGGAAACUGGACAACUUGAGUACGGGAGAGGAAAGUGGAAUUCCGAGUGUAGGGGUGAAAUCCGUAGAUAUUCGGAGGAACACCAGUGGCGAAGGCGGCUUUCUGGACCGAUACUGACGCUGAGACGCGAAAGCCGUGGGGAGCAAACAGGAUUAGAUACCCUGGUAGUCCACGCCGUAAACGAUGGGUACUAGGUGUCGCGGGUAUUGACCCCUGCGGUGCCGCAGCUUACGCAUUAAGUACCCCGCCUGGGGAGUACCGCCGCAAGGCU
rnacentral:rRNA from 1 species